rnacentral:misc_RNA from 1 species
UUUCCGUAGGUGAACCUGCGGAAGGAUCAUUAUUGUAUAACCGAGGUGUGAGGGCUGUCGCUGAAUCGCCAGGUUGUGUACGACCGAGUGCCCUCAUUUACUCCUUUCUCACCUCUAUGUGCACCUCUGCGUCGGCCCCCCUUUGGACUGUUAGGAGGGGGGUUUACGCCUUCACUCUUAAUUUGUAUGCAGUGUAGAUGGUAAUUUUUUUCUUUGCGACUACGUCAUAAAUAAUACUACUAACAACGGCUCUCUUGGCUCUCGCAUCGUCGAAGAAAA